rnacentral:misc_RNA from 1 species
UUAUUUUUUUUUUAUUAAAAUAUUUGAUAAAUUUGUUUAUUAAAUUUAUUGGUAAAAAUGAUGGAUAUGGGUGAUAUUGAGAUUGAACAAAAACCUCCAUCAAAGUGUAUGACAUUCCUGGGAAUGAUGUGGAAAUUUUUUAAAUGUAUAUUUUCACAUGUGACACUUGUAUCACUUGUCGUUGCUUACUGUGUGUUUGGAGCAUAUGCAUUUGAAAGACUUGAGUCAGAACAUGAAAAAGACGUAAAAAAAAGUAUUAAAUAUGUGAGAAAUAAUAUUACAGAAAAGCUAUGGACUAAAACAAAAGAAUUCGAAAUAUUGGAUGAUCGUUUUUGGAUAAAUAGUACUGUUGAAAUACUGAGGGAAUUCGAAACAAACUUGCUGAGAAAAAUGAAAAAAGAAGGCUGGGAUGGAAGUGAAGAUUUAAAUAAUAUACAAUGGACAUUUGCUGGUGCAUUAUUUUAUUCAAUUAUUGUUAUAACAACAAUUGGCUAUGGCCACAUUUCGCCCAAGACACAGAAUGGCAAGGUUGUAACAAUAUUUUAUGCCAUUCUAGGUAUACCCUUGAUGCUUUUAUGCCUAUCGAAUAUCGGUGAUGUCAUGGCAUCUAGCUUCAGGUUUCUCUACUGGAAAAUAUGCUGUUAUGUUUGUACAAGACCACCAAAGCCACGAAGAGUUAGAAGCAACAUACCAAGGGGUUACAGUGUUCGUCAAGUAUCUGGACGUGGACAUGGUAGAAGUGGUACAUCAUUACGUAGAUCAGUUAGAACAAGUCAACGUUCAGCUGAUUCAGCACUUGGCCUAUCUGAAAGUAUGACUAGAUCAACAGAUAUUGAUUAUCGUUAUCAACAGAGACGUUAUGAUGUUGAUACACAUUUAAAUGAUCCAAGAGUAUCAUACACAACACGCUCAACUUUACCGUCAAUGGCAUCACCACGUAAUCUUCAUUUAACAGCACCAUCAAGACAUACUUAUGAUUAUCGUGUUGCAGCAUCAACAUCACCACGUCUUGGUGGUAAUAAAAGUGGAAAAUUAAAUACUGGUGGUGGUACCAUUUCUGGUGCAACUCAAUCAUUAGACAGAAGAUUAUUUGUUGCUCAAAAUGAUGUUGAUAAAACUCCCGUUCUUUUUAACAAAUAUGCUAUUGCUGAGGCUGACUUCAAUGGGCGUGAAAUACCAAGGGAUAAAAGAGAAUUUUUAGAUGACUAUGGAGGAAAUAGAAGAUUACCAACAACAGGAUCAGAUUACGCAACUUUACCAAGAUUAGGUCAACCAAGAAAUAAUCAAAGAUGUCAUUCUGUUGAACCUCGUUCAAGUAAUUAUGAUAAAAAUAUUUAUCUUGAUACACCAAGACCAAGAAAAAUACCAGUAAUUGUUCCACGAAGACUAAGAAGUAAUCAUAAUUAUAUUCCACGUUCACAUAGAAAAGAAGCACCAUCACCAAGAAUAAUGUCACCAAUGGGUUUUGCAGUACAUCGUCAAGUAUAUGCUGAUGAUAUUGAUUAUGAUGACUAUUCAACACCAGUUGAGGAUCAAACAAUAAAACCAGUACCAAUUUGGCUUUGUGUAUUUCUUGUUGUAAGUUAUAUACUUGCUGGUGCUGUAUUAUUUAAUAGUUGGGAACAUUGGAAUUUUCUUGAUUCUGCGUAUUUUUGUUUUAUCACAUUGACCACCAUCGGUUUUGGUGAUUUUGUGCCAGCUCAUCGACUUGAAUCAGAUGUAUGGGAUUCACCACAUAUGGGAAUUGUAUUGUGUUCGCUAUAUUUAUUAUUUGGAAUAGCAUUACUUGCAAUGAGUUUUAAUCUUGUUCAAGAAGAGGUAAUAACAAAUGUUAAAGAAGUUGCAAAACGUCUUGGAAUAAUUAAAGACAAGGACAAUGAUGACGAUGAUGAUGAUGAUUAUGAUGAUGAACCAAUUGAAAUUGAUGAUAAUUAUGAUGAUGGUGCUUUUAUAUUUGAAACAAUUGAAGGUACACACAGUAGAAAAGUUGGUAAUGGAUAUGAUGUACCAUUAUCAAGAAAUGAAACAGCAAUAUUACUAUGGGAUUUAACAUACAAGGUAAAUAUAUUUUCUGAGGAAUUAUGGAAAUCAAAAGUCAAUGAUAUAUUAUCUGGUUAUCAAAAAAAAUUGGUAAAUGCUGUUGAAAAAGGAUGGGAUGGUACUGAUUCAACUGAUAAUCGUCAAUGGACAUUUGCUGGUGCAUUUUUAUAUUCACUUACAGUCAUCACAACAAUUGGAUAUGGUAAUUCAACUCCAAAAACAAUGUGGGGUAAAGUUAUUACUAUUGGAUAUGCAAUUGCUGGUAUGCCACUAUUUCUUUUAUACUUGAGUAAUAUUGGUGAUAUAUUAGCAAGAAGUUUCAAGUGGACAUAUGCACGUUGCUGUUUAUGCAGAUGUAGAAAAAGGCCACGAGUACCACGUGAUCCACGUUCAUCUGUUAGAGAACCAAAAAAAAAUACCUGGCAGAUGGUUAAAUUGCAAUCUGGUAGACUUGACACAGUAAGUAUUGAUGGUGAAAUUGAAUCAAUGUCUAAAUCAACAGGAAGUGAUGAGGACAAUGAUGAUGAAAGUGAAGAUGAUGAUGAUGAUGAGAGUGGUCGUUAUGAUCCACAAAGAAUAACUGUUCCAUUGACACUGUGUCUUGGAAUAAUGGUUGGAUAUGUUUGUGGUGGAGCAUUAUUAUUUUCAAAAUGGGAAGAUUGGGAUUUUCUUGAUGGUUCCUAUUUUUGUUUCAACAAUUGGCUUUGGUGACAUUGUUCCAGGUGAUAAAAUAUACUCUGGUCAAGGUAUCGAGCUGUCUUUUAUUUUCUGCUCAAUGUACCUCAUGUUGGGUAUGGCAUUGAUAGCAAUGUGUUUCAAUCUGAUGCAGGAAGAAGUGAUGGCUAAAAUGCGAUCAUUUACGCGAUCAGUUAAACACGUACUCAGAUGUGACAGAUAAAAACAACA